GGGGAGUCUAGUGGUACGGACAGAAACAGUGGAGGGGAGUCUAGUGGUACGGACAGAAACAGUGGAGGGGGAGUCUAGUGGUACGGACAGAAACAGUGGAGGGGGAGUCUGUAGUGGUACGGACAGAAACAGUGGAGGGGGAGUCUAGUGGUACGGAGAGAAACAGUGGAGGGGGAGUCUAGUGGUACGGACAGAAACAGUGGAGGGGGAUCUGUAGUGGUACGGACAGAAACAGUGGAGGGGGAGUCUGUAGUGGUACGGACAGAAACAGUGGAGGGGGAGUGUAGUGGUACGGACAGAAACAGUGGAGGGG
ensembl:lncRNA